AGGUCUCCGUCUUUCUCCUCCUGUGCUGUGCUAGGUAGUGGUAGGCAGGCCCCUGUGUGUCUAGGACCCUCCCAUGCUGUAGACUGGAGGGUCUACAAAACAUGUCACAACUCAGGUCUUUGUCUUCCUUCUCCUGCGCUGCAAUGCCUGGAUUUAAUUUGAUUUUUAUGAGUUCUAGGCAUAAAACAGUUUAGGCCACCAAGCCAGACAUGAAGCUAGGACUUGAACAAGCUAGGUCCCUGAAUAAAGAACUGCCAUCUGCUCUGCCCCGACUGAUAUAAGAAUACUACCACCAUCAAGACUUGGGAAAUAGGAAAGAUAGGGGGAAAAAGACUUACCAAUAAUGAAAAUGUUUACAUCCAACAAUUAGAAGAGAAAAAGGUAAAACUUAAGAAAAAUAUAAAACAAUUGUAAGUAUCAAAUAUUUGUGUGUGUGUGUGUGUGUGUGUGUAAGAAACACGGGGAAACAAGAAACUAAGGGAAAAAACUGCCCUAAACUGUAAAAAUACAUGAACAAAAUUAAAUGACUGUAUGAAGAGAAAUAACAAAUAAAAAAAUAUAUAUAUAUUAAAAAAACCCAAAUACAUACAGUAAAAAUCCUGCUACGUGAAUAUUGUGGGGGAAGAAAGAACCUCACAGAAGAAGCAAUAGAAAGGAAGACGUGAGGCUGUGUUGGAGCAGCUUCUUCAGAAAAGCAUACUCAUGGAGGAAGAGGGUUCGGUGAACUUGUGGGCUCAUGUUUCCGUUUUUUGUUUUUGCUGAGUCUGUAUUGUUUCUCUAGUUAGUAUCAGAGGGCUUUCCUUGCUGCUGACUAGGGACCUCUGCUGGCCACAUUGAGCUUUGCAGUCUGUCUUUCACCCUCCCAAGAGGGUGCCCAUGAGGUGUUUUUAUCCACGGCUGAUCCCCAUGCCAGAGGGUUCCGCAUCUGUAUUUUAGGAUGUGAGAGCUCUGUGCCUGUCUUGAUGGUGGCACUGCUCUGCUUUGGUAAGGUUUUCUUUCAGGAGUAGCUUUUUGUUCCCCUUUCCUCUCUAAGGAGGUGUAAGCUGGAGGCAGCAUUUAGUUGAUUUCUUUGGCACAUUUCCCUUCUGCCCCCUUCUUUUCAAGUAUUCAUUCACUUUUAAAAUGAACUUCUGAAAUUCUUCCUCUACUUCUCACUGUGGGAAAAAGUUCAUUUUGUCCCCUGAUUCACCUUUCUCAGCUCACAUAGAGGCAGUCUUCUAUUUUAUCCAUGUGAAUUAAAGUCCUCAUCUCCCCUGCAGCUCCCUCCACAAGAACCUGCACCUUAUACUGAUCACUCUACAAAGGCUGAAUCAUCGAGUAGAACCCUGACACCAUUAUUGUACUUGCAGACAGGAGCCUGGCAUGGCUGUCCUCUGAGAGGCUCUACCAACAGAUGACUGAGACAGAAGCAGAUACUUACAGCCAACCAUUGGACUGAGGUUGGGACUCCUAUGGACGAAUUAGCGGAAGGAUUGAAGGAAAGGAAGGAACGGAAACUCCAUAGGAAGAUGAACAGUGUCAACUAACCCAGACCCCUGAGAGCACCCAGAGAGAAAGCCAGCGACCAAAGAGCAUACAUGGGCUGGUCUGAGGCCCCUGGCACAUACGUAGCAGAGGACUGCCUUGCCUUCUCAGUGGGAGAGGAUGUGCCUAAUCCUGUAGAUACUUGAUGCCUGAGGGAAGCGGGAUGCCUGGGGCAGGGGCACCUUCUCAGAGGUGAAGGGGAGGAAGAUUAGGGGAAGAAAUCUACAAGAGGAGGCUGGGAGGAGGGCAACAUUUGGGAAUAAUAAUAAUAAUAAUAAUAAUAAUAAUAAUAAUAAUGAUAGAGGUGGAAACAAUGCAGACCCGGAGCCAAGUUGUCUUUAACUCCCUCAAGUGGCCAGUUACUGCUACUUGAGGCAUUUACUGCCUUCUGUGACCUAACAUCUUGUUAUUAGGUAAAUCCUUUGGAAUAUAUGAACAGAUCCCAGCUCAUCCACCAACUUGAGCUGUUGGAUGCACAGCAUCCUCAUGUCAAACGCUGUGAAUGCCAGAUAGCAUCUGGGGCCUGUAGCAGAGGUUUCCGAUUUCUCUCUAACCUGCACUCUUGUGCCCAUCAAUAAAUUUAAAAAGUAC